UACGAAGGGGGCUAGCGUUGCUCGGAAUCACUGGGCGUAAAGGGUGCGUAGGCGGGUUUCUAAGUCAGAGGUGAAAGCCUGGAGCUCAACUCCAGAACUGCCUUUGAUACUGGAAGUCUUGGGUUCGGGAGAGGUGAGUGGAACUGCGAGUGUAGAGGUGAAAUUCGUAGAUAUUCGCAAGAACACCAGUGGCGAAGGCGGCUCACUGGCCCGAUACUGACGCUGAGGCACGAAAGCGUGGGGAGCAAACAGG
rnacentral:rRNA from 1 species